UACUGUGUUAUGGCAGCCCUAGGAAACAAAUUCAUAUGUCAAUGUUCAGCCCCUUAACUCUUUUCCCUUAAGAAAUAGAGCUCAACUAUUUAAAAUUACCAAGACAUGGAAACAACCUAAAUGUCCACCGACAGAUGAAUGGAUAAAGAAGAUGUGGUACAUAUAUACAAUGGAAUAUUACUCGGCCAUAAAAAAGAAUGAAAUAAUGCGAUCUGCAGCUACAUGGAUGGACCUAGAGAUUAUCACACUAAGCAAAUUGAUUAUCUGAAGUCUUGAGGUCUUCUUCAGGAGCCUCUACGAAGGCCUGCUUAUUGUGAAGGGGGCGCUGGGUGAGAUUCGAAGACACUUUUCCCCCACUCUGACUCUGUACCCAGUAUUUUUCCACUCCUAACCCUUCCCCCACCUUCCUCCCCAAAAGAGGGUCCAUAAAACUGCUGGAGCCUUUUGUUCUGGGUCCCUCAGCAGGGAGCCGACCCUCACAUCUAUGCGGAUCCAUCUGACUCUCCACCUGUGUGCCUUCCCAUGGAGGGAAAUGGAGCAGGGGGAGUCAGCACCCGCUCCAGUCUCAGCCUCCUGCUUUACCAUCAUAGGAAGUGACGAAAGACUUGCUGCUUUAAGCGGCUACUUUGACACCUGGCAGCCUAGCUCUCUCCCAACUCAGCAGAGCCCCUGACAUCCCCCUUGAGGCUGAUUCAGAUGCCACGUGAAAGGCAGGAGAAGAUUCCAGCACCAGAGAAAGGUCCCAGUCAGAGGGAGCCCCUUCUACCUGCUCGGAGGUGAGAGCCAAGCGAGGAACAGCAGUGACUUGCAUGUCCAGGCCCCUGAGGUGACCACUUAAGGUUAAAGAACCUUUUCUCAAAGUGGGGUACACUGCCAUGCCCAAUAUAUGUGAUACUAUAGAUAAAAACAACUAUACAGAGCCUGGCAAAAUCCGAGUGACUGUUCAUCUUUUAUUCCUUCUUUCCUUUAUUCUCCACCCCAAUUUUUGGCUGUUACUGCAGGGAUAAAAGGCAAGAAGGAGAGGAAGGCAAGAUGAUCCUUCUCGCAGCUCUGCUUAGAAUCCUAAUGUGUCCCAGCUACAGGGGCCUGACCUUCUCAUUUCACAUAUGAGGAUGCUGACACCAGAGAGCAUUCGGCAAAGACAAGAUUCUGGGGGGCAGAAGGGCAUGACGGACAGACAGCAGCCAAGGAGUCUCAUGAAGGGGCAGCCCCAGCAAACCAGGCAAGUGAGGGAGAUGGGUCAGCGCGGCAGGGAUGUUUCCAAAGA